UACGGAGGGUGCAAGCGUUGCUCGGAAUUAUUGGGCGUAAAGCGCACGCAGGCGGCUGAUUAAGUCGGAUGUGAAAACCCCGAGCUCAACUCGGGAACUGCAUUCGAAACUGGUCAGCUGGAGUUCGGGAGAGGGAAGCGGAAUUCCUGGUGUAGAGGUGAAAUUCGUAGAUAUCAGGAGGAACACCGGUGGCGAAAGCGGCUUCCUUGCCCGUAACUGACGCUCAUGUGCGAAAGCGUGGGGAGCAAACAGG
rnacentral:rRNA from 1 species